CAGCAGUGAUGAGCAAUUGAGAUAGUCAUGCACCACUCUGAUGAUUUUUACAAUCAAUAUGUGCUGAUAAAUUUCUCUUACCCAUAUAUCUCUGAGCUU